GGUAGCACUGACAAGUUACAGCAAAGCAAAUCAAAACAUCAGAAAUUUUAAAACGUCAUAGUUGCUUGUAUAUUGGAUAUAAUAAGUAAAAUAAGAACAAAUGUACUUCCGUGGAUCUUCCAUCGCGGUCACAGCCAUCUGGCUGUUUGUGCUGGCGUUGGAGCAACAGCAGAGUGACGCAGCAGUGUCGGCAGCAUCCACGAAUGGCACAAAGGCCAUUGAAAUAUCAGAGCUUAGUGCACCGGCUGCAAUCCAGGAAGCGGUAAAGUCGGAUGAUCGUAAAACCGUUAAGAAGGCUUUAUCCAUAGAUGCAGUGCCCAAUCGAAAGGAUAGCGAUGUCGUCAUUGCUGAAAAGCCUGCGCUAGCGUUAAAGGAACAAGCCCAGGAGUCAGCAUCGCCACCCUCCAGUCUGCCUGUAGAGGAUGUUCGCAUCGAGCACUCUAGCAUGGGCAAUGAAGUGGACUUUCCGGGACAAGCCGUCGUCUACGUUCUGGUGGCAAUAACAAGUUCCGCCAUUUUGCUGCUUGUCUUGCGUGUCUAUCGAAUGCGAUUAACACGGGCAGAGCGCAAAUAUGGGGUGCAAGGCGACAGGGCCAAUCAGGAGCUAACACCGCUGCCCAUGGCCAUCGAGGACGUCAACAGCGACGAGGAGGACCACACCGUGUUCGAGGUCAAUCGCCAGAAUAUACGCAUAUUAUGAAACAGCUAACACAACAGCACGCCAAAGAGAUAUUUGGUCGCCACACCAUUCUCAACACUUCUCAGCAACUUGCCUGUUGGUUCCCGUUUAACGAAUCAAAAGAAAACAAAACCAUUUGUGAUAACUUUAACGAUAUAUGAAUAUGUCUGUAAGAAUAUAUUGUUGAAGGCAUGCCAAUCUCGGUCUACGGAUGCUUUCACAAUAAAUGUUAUAUUAAAUGUACUGCACAAAG